ensembl:rRNA 5S_rRNA 5S ribosomal RNA
GUCUACGGCUGUACAAAACUGAACACGCCUGAUCUCGUCUGAUGUCAGAAGCUAAGCAGGGUUGGGCCUGGUUAGUACUUGGAGGGGAGAAAUUAGAGAAACUAUAAAUU